GGCGCUGCCAUUUUCCCGACCGGUCUCCCGUCCCCAUCGCGCCUGUUGGCUGCGGGGAAUGCGGAACGGGGCCCGGCUAUUUCCACCCUAUUUCCCAUAAUUCCCUUCCCCAUUGAGCCGGCCGCGCCGGCCAUCUUGCGUACGGGCCGGAUAAUUGACGUGCCACGUCGUAUACGUUCGUUUAUGAGCAUGCAGCGUACGGGCCGAAUAAUUGACGUGCCACGUAUACAUGUACGUUCGUUGUGAGCAUGCAGCGCAUGCAACAGCACAGCAUUGCUGACAUGGUUGAUGUAUCUGUUCCUCCUUGCUCCAGUUUUCUCUUUGAACGGACUCCCGAUGACACCCACAUCACAUGACCAGCUCCAAGCAUGCUCCAGUGCAUGCUUCAACCAGUUCCUAAAGCAAGAAUCUCAACUCAAGACGAAGACACCUAUUCCUUCCAGUUCAACUGCAAGAUUCCUGCUUUUUCUCUUUACCCAUUCAAAACACAUUUUCCUUCUAGCCAUAAUUUUAUUUUUAGAAGUCA
rnacentral:lncRNA from 1 species